ACAGGAAACCGGUGCGAAUCCGGUGCGGUCCCGCCACUGUGACCGGACCCCGCGCGGGUCCGGAAGUCAGACACUG
rnacentral:sRNA from 12 species